ACACUCUACAAGCUAGGUGGAGGCUUGGAGAAAGAAGCGAGUCAAACGGAUCGGAUGCGAAGAAAAAGAAAACGUUGCUUGGAUGUGAGGUAUAAUUUUAGCACCGGAGGACGAUCAAGCACAACGAAGAACCGAACACGAUCAAGAUAUAAGCUUCCGCACUUUGUAUCGUUGUUAUGUAAAAUGA